rnacentral:rRNA from 1 species
UACGUAGGAUGCAAGCGUUGUCCGGAAUUAUUGGGCGUAAAGAGCGCGCAGGCGGUCUAUCAAGUCAGAUGUGAAAUAUCCGGGCUUAACCCGGAGGGGUCAUUUGAAACUGGUAGACUAGAGUACAGCAGAGGAUAGCGGAAUUCCCGGUGUAGUGGUGAAAUGCGUAGAUAUCGGGAGGAACACCAGUGGCGAAGGCGGCCGACUGGGCCGUCCCUGACGCUGAGGCGCGAAAGCGUGGGGAGCGAACCGG